rnacentral:rRNA from 1 species
AAUCAGUUGAAAUGUGUGGUACUUUAUGGGUAGUCGGCUAAUACGGGCAAAUCUCUUACUAAUCGUGCUUCGUUACAUCAUUGGUGGGGAGACCCGGGUUGAGUUACGCUGUAAAAAUGACUGAAAGGCAGGUACCGUCAGCUUCUGACGCAUCAUCAAGUAGUAAGCGUAAGGUGCUUCCUAUGAUGUCACGCGUACGGGGAAUUAGGGUUCGACUCCGGAGAAUGAGCAUGAGAGACGGCUCAUAGUUCUAAGGGAGGCAGCAGGCGCGGAAAUUGCCCAAUGUGCAAUCGCACGAGGCAGUGACGAAGAAUCUUGAGCAGACUUUGUCUGUAUUAAGCUGAGGAGGGUGUAGAUGCCCCUCCGAACGCAAUUAGUGGGAGAGCAUGGUGCCAGCAGCCGCGGUAAUUCCAUCACUGACAGCUUUUCCUUACGUUGUUGCAGUUAAAAAGCUCGUAGCCGUUGCUAGAGAGAUCGUGUCACUUUGAGAAAACAGGAGUGUUUAUAACAGGGUUUCCGCKUGCACAGCUCAGCAAAGAAUGACAUGCCCGAUUUCUUAGGGAGSUCGGGACGUACCAUAUGGCGGCGCGGGACUGGUAGUAUUUGGGAGGGACAGGUGAAAUAGGAUGAUCUCCCAAGGACUCUCAACAGCGAAGGCAGCCGGUAAGCGCCGUCCAGUUGGUCAAGAGCGAAAGUGUGAGGAUAGACGAUGAUUAGAAACCGUUUUAUUUCACGCCUUAAACGAUACCAUCUCAGAAGCGGGCUCACAGGCUCGCAUCUCAAGGGAAACCGCAAGGUUUCGGGUUCUGGGGGAAGUAUGAUUGCAAGAUUGAAACUUGAAGGUAUUGACGGAAAAUUAWACAAGACGUGGAGUCUGCGGCUYAAUUUGACUYAACACGCWAAUCUUACCAGACCCAGAUGCUUUACGGAGCAACAGAUUGAGAGUUCUUUUGCGAUUGGGCAGUUGGUGGUGCAUGGCCGCUCCUAGUUCGUGGUGUAAACUGUCUGCCUUAUUGCGUUAACGAGCGAGACAACCGUUCCAAAUCUUGGAAGAGCGCCAGCGCUGAGCUGGACGAACGCGGUUGCACUAGCAGGUCUGUGAUGCCCUUAGACACUCUGGGCCGCACGCGUACUACACUGUUGGCUGCACAUCGUCGCCUGCUCGGAAGRGCCGGCCAUUCGUGCGAACCGCCAACGUGGUAGGGAUCGAAGCUUGGAAUUCUUCUUCGUGAACUAGGAAUGUCUUGUAAGUGCUUAUCAUUAUAAAGCGCUGAAUGCGUCCCUGACUUUUGUACACACCGCCCGUCGCUCCUACCGACUUGGAUGAUUUGGUGAGUUGUUCGGACCCCACAGCGCAAGCCGAGGGGAAAGUCCUGCGAACCUAAUUGUCUGGAGGAAGAGAAUAAU